rnacentral:rRNA from 1 species
GAGAUUUCCGGUUGAUCCUGCCGGAGGUUACUGCUAUCGGGGUCUGACUAAGCCAUGCGAGUUGAGAGGGGUAAAGCCCUCAGCGUAAUGCUCAGUAACACGCGGAUAACCUGCCCUUGGAUCCGGGAUAACCCCGGGAAACUGGGACUAAUACCGGAUAGAUCACGGAUACUGGAAUGUUCCUUGAUCCAAAGCUCCGGCGUCCAAGGAUGGAUCUGCGACCUAUCAGGUAGUAGUGAGUGUAACGUACCUACUAGCCUACAACGGGUACGGGUUGUGAGGGCAAGAGCCCGGAGAUGGAUUCUGAGACAUGAAUCCAGGCCCUACGGGGUGCAGCAGGCGCGAAAACUUUACAAUGCAGGAAACUGCGAUAAGGGGACCCCGAGUGCCAGCAUCUAAUGCUGGCUGUCCAGCUGUGUAAAUAGCAGUUGUUAGCAAGGGCCGGGCAAGACCGGUGCCAGCCGCCGCGGUAACACCGGCGGCCCGAGUGGUAACCGAUUUUAUUGGGUUUAAAGGGUCCGUAGCCGGCCUGUUAAGUCUCUUGGGAAAUCUGGCAGCUCAAUCGUCAGACGGUCAAGAGAUACUGACAGGCUUGGGACCGGUAGAGGUGGGAGGUACUCCAGGGGUAGAGGUGAAAUUUUGUAAUCCUUGGGGGACCAUCGAUGGCGAAGGCAUCCCACUAGAACGGGUCCGACGGUGAGGGACGAAAGCUGGGGGCACGAACCGGAUUAGAUACCCGGGUAGUCCCAGCCGUAAACGAUGCUCGCUAGGUGUCAGAUGCGGUGCGACCGCAUUUGGUGCCGCAGUGAAAACCUGAAGCGAGCCACCUGGGAAGUACGGUCGCAAGGCUGAAACUUAAAGGAAUUGGCGGGGGAGCACUACAACGGGUGGAGCCUGCGGUUCAAUUGGAUUCAACGCCGGAAAU